rnacentral:rRNA from 1 species
UCUAUUACUGAAUACAUAGGUAAUAGAAGCGAACGGAGGGAACUGAAACAUCUUAGUACCUCCAGGAAGAGAAAACAAAAGUGAUUUUCCUAGUAGCGGCGAGCGAACGGGAAUCAGCCUAAACCUGAUAUGCGUGAUAGCCCACAGGCGUUGCAUAUUUGGUGUUGCGGGAUCUUAUCAGAGAAUUCUGUGGAAUUUUCGAGGAGUUACAAAGCUGAUUUAUAAUUGAACAAUGUGGAAACAUUGGCCAAAGAAGGUGAUAGCCCUGUAAGUGAAAUAAAUCAGUCUCCUUGGAUAGGACACCCAAGUACUACGGGACACGAGAAACCCUGUAGGAAUCCAGGAGGACCAUCUCCUAAGGCUAAAUACUAACUGACGACCGAUAGUGAACAAGUACCGUGAGGGAAAGGUGAAAAGUACCCCUUUUAGGGGAGUGAAAUAGUACCUGAAACCGUGUGCCUACAAGGUGUAGGAGCUCUAUUUAUUAAUGCUUGCAUUUUUAAAGAGUGACUGCGUGCCUUUUGCAUAAUGAGUCCGCGAGUUACUAAGUGUAGCAAGGUUAAGCCGUUAGGUGUAGCCGUAGCGAAAGCGAGUCUUAACUGGGCGUUUAGUUGCACUGAGUAGACCCGAAACCGGGUGAUCUACCCAUGGCCAGGGUAAAGUUCUGGUAAAACGGAAUGGAGGCCCGAACCAGUGUCGGUUGAAAACGGCUUGGAUGAGCUGUGGGUAGGAGUGAAAGGCUAAUCAAACUCGGAAAUAGCUGGUUCUCCCCGAAAUAUAUUUAGGUAUAGCCUUGCAUGUUGAGAUAUGGAGGUAGAGCACUGGAUGGGCUAGGGGUCUCUACAGGAUUACCAAACCCAACCAAACUUCGAAUGCUGUAUUCUUUAGUGCAGGAGUCAGACUGCGGGAGAUAAGUUCCGUGGUCGAGAGGGAAACAGCCCAGAUCACCAGCUAAGGUCCCAAAUAUUUGCUAAGUGGGAAAGGAAGUGAAAACGCACAAACAGCCAGGAGGUU